CCUACGGGUGGCAGCAGUCGAGAAUCAUUCACAAUGGGGGAAACCCUGAUGGUGCGACGCCGCGUGGGGGAAUGAAGGUCUUCGGUUUGUAAACCCUUGUCAUGUGGGAGCAAAUUAAAAAGUUAGUACCACAAGAGGAAGAGACGGCUAACUCUGUGCCAGCAGCCGCGGUAAUACGGAGGUCUCAAGCGUUGUUCGGAAUCACUGGGCGUAAAGCGUGCGCAGGCUGUUACGUAAGUCGUGUGUGAAAGGCGCGGGCUCAACCCGCGGACGGCACAUGAUACUGCGAGAAUAGAGUAAUGGAGGGGGAACCGGAAUUCUCGGUGUAGCAGUGAAAUGCGUAGAUAUAGAGAGGAACACUCGUGGCGAAGGCGGGUUCCUGGACAUUAACUGACGCUGAGGCACGAAGGCCAGGGGAGCGAAAGGGAUUAGAUACCCUUGUAGUC
rnacentral:rRNA from 1 species